rnacentral:misc_RNA from 1 species
GUCAUAAGUUGAAUCAAUUUGAAAAUUAACAUCUGGUCUAUACUCAUAGCCAUCUUGUUCUGUUUCCUCAGGAUCAAAUCCAAAAUAUUCUGCCCAUUUCCUCAGCUUCUCAUCCAUUCUAUCGGAUAACGAGUCAGAACUCUCAUCUAUGCCCUCCAAACCAUCACCUUCCCAACUAUCUCCUUCAUUCCGUAUGGAACCAGUCCUGUUGCGAGUGUUUGCAAGUCUGUCAAGCUUUUGGAAAAAGGAGUCAGUAGCUGAGCUGCUCCCAGAAAUGCCACCAAAUAUCCGGUGCUCAAACUCAUCACGUGACUCAAAAGAAUUAGGACUUUCUUUAUCAUCAAUUCUAUCACCUGAAGUAGCAUUUGUAGAGAGAGGUUUAACGAAAUGGGGAGUGAGUCUUCGGACAGACAAGUAACUGAUAAUGGAUCGCAACGCAACGCCACCUGUUCUUAUCAUUUCUUCUACCAGAAAUUUUCGAGAAAUUGCUUCAAUUCUAUCAGUAGCUUCUUCG